CGUCACUCACUGAAUUACACAGCAAAUUGAUACAGAAUAAAGUUACAUAUCUAAUUCAUUUGCAGUGCGUUCACUGCGCUGGAUAGGUUCUCUUGUGCGCUGAGAGCGUGAGACCAGUACGCAGUUACGUAGCUUAGAGGGAAUAUUGUUGCCGUUGCAUCCCCGGUAAACUUAAAUCUAAAUGAAAGAUACCUUUCAUUGUAUUGCCUCGCGUCGGAAACUUCGCUUGUCUCGAAGCAUCAGGCAAUUUCCUAGCUACUGCUGCUCCCUACCGGUAUGGAAGAGUACUACAUGAUUACUAUUCCAGGCGAUCGACCGCACAGGCGUACAUAUUGUUUGAUUUCCCACGGCACACCUGACAAGUGUGCCGCGACACAGGGUUUGAAAAAUAUUGCCAUGAACAUUCACUAGAUAAAAUCGAAAACACCGUGGCGAUUGCUUUGAUAUUGAGGUGAGCACAAGUGAAGAUGUGCAUGUGAAUUUUGGUUGUGAUUAGUCGUCGUUUUGUACCUUUUAGCCACAUUAAGCUUUUUUAUAUGCACAUUCAGUGUUUUAGACGGUCCCAUCAACAAAUAGUAUUCCAUUUGUUUUUCCGUUGGAAAGAUAAUACUUAGCUGCCGUAGACAAUUAGCAUUAGCUUAGCAUAGACUUUUUUGCCAAGCACAACAGAUUCUGCUCGUCAUCCAAAUGACUGAUUCCUCCCUUCCCUACAGAGGAAAACAUUUUAGAACAGUACUCCCUGCAGCUCAGUAUCCUGACCACAAGACGGCAGCCUUGUCCUUCGCCCACUCAUUGCGAAGGCACCCGAGAUGGCACUGACCGGUAUCCAACCUGUGACACUGAAGGUGAUGACAGUACCUCAGUUGUGGCCAAGAGUGAAAGCAAUAUGGCAGGAAUAUUCAAUAUGAUCUGAAAUGCCAACAUCUGAGGCAAUAUAUCCGGAAUGAGUAGUCAUUGUCAUAGAAAUCAACAAGAUCUAAAAAAAAAGGGAAAAGAAAAAAAAUGGCCCAGAUUUUAUUGAAGUCAUUAAACCUUUACUGCAAAUUGAAAAAAAUGGAGUUAGCCCACUCUAGAUCCCAGUGACUCAACUGUUUUCAAGAGAGACGUAAUGACAACCAUAAUUUACAUUCAACAGGUGCAGUAGUUGAUUCAAAAAUAGACGGGAUGGAAAUCCAGACAUGGCAGGACUGGCUACUCAACGGAUUUUUCUGUGGCUGAUAUUAAUAAACAUUUUGACUCUCCAACAAACUCAUGAGAAUGGGAUUAUUAGGACCCUCCUGAGCCCUAC